GGUUAAGCGACUAAGCGUACACGGUGGAUGCCCUGGCAGUCAGAGGCGAUGAAGGGCGUGCUAAUCUGCGAUAAGCGCCGGUAAGGUGAUAUGAACCGUUAUAACCGGCGAUACCCGAAUGGGGAAACCCAGUGUGAUUCGUCACACUAUCAUUAACUGAAUCCAUAGGUUAAUGAGGCGAACCGGGGGAACUGAAACAUCUAAGUACCCCGAGGAAAAGAAAUCAACCGAGAUUCCCCCAGUAGCGGCGAGCGAACGGGGAGGAGCCCAGAGCCUGAAUCAGCAUGUGUGUUAGUGGAAGCGUCUGGAAAGGCGCGCGAUACAGGGUGACAGCCCCGUACACAAAAGCGCAUGUGUUGUGAGCUCGAUGAGUAGGGCGGGACACGUGGUAUCCUGUCUGAAUAUGGGGGGACCAUCCUCCAAGGCUAAAUACUCCUGACUGACCGAUAGUGAACCAGUACCGUGAGGGAAAGGCGAAAAGAACCCCGGCGAGGGGAGUGAAAAAGAACCUGAAACCGUGUACGUACAAGCAGUGGGAGCACAGGUUUACCUGUGUGACUGCGUACCUUUUGUAUAAUGGGUCAGCGACUUAUAUUCUGUAGCAAGGUUAACCGAAUAGGGGAGCCGUAGGGAAACCGAGUCUUAAUUGGGCGUUAAGUUGCAGGGUAUAGACCCGAAACCCGGUGAUCUAGCCAUGGGCAGGUUGAAGGUUGGGUAACACUAACUGGAGGACCGAACCGACUAAUGUUGAAAAAU
rnacentral:rRNA from 1 species